AUUCUCCAUCUCCGCCAUUCAAUUCAUAAGUGUGUCCAGCACUAGCAGCCGCCACUGAAGAGAAAUCCCCAUACUGUGUCUGUGUAAUUCCUUGAAACCGACUUUCGCUGUUCCGACAACAUAAGAUGGCGUCAUCUGCCGUAGCUCCGACGUCCUCAUUCCUUGUUGACAAGAAAAUUUUGGGAUUUUCAGCUUCCUGUGCCCAGCCUUCUUCAUUUCCAUGUUCCCGCAGCUU